UAUAUAUAUAUAUAUAUAUAUAUAUAUAUAUAUAUAUAUAUAUAUAGGAGGAAGAUCCUAAGAAAACCCAGCUUAUCAAGAAAACCGAGAAACCCAUCUAAUCACCGUUGAUCUUAUAAUCAUGAUCUAAUCAGUAUUUUAUAAAAAAAAGCAAUUAAAUCUAGUUAAUAAGGGGUAGUUUAGGAAUAGACAUUUACCCGUAUUCAAUCAAAGAUGUAUUCCAUAUUUAGAGAGAUUUUUUAUUUUUGUUAAAUAUUUCUAGAUUAAAUCAGACAUAUAAAUAAUAUGAACAGAUUAGUACGUUUCAUGUUUCUAUCUUCAGUUAAAAGCUUAACAGCUUCCUCAGCCAUGGCAGACGAAGAACCUGACAUCACUCAAGUUAUUGAUAAUAGCAGGGAAACCAAUUAUCAACAAGUAGAAGAUUUUAUCAAGACCGUUCUCACAUGUGUUGCUGAUUAGGUUAAUACCCGAUGCUUGGGAUUUUAAACCUGACCAUUUCUUCGAACCCGCUGACAUCUUUCGUUCCCAAAUGAGAAAUUUCAAGUGGCUUUCAGCUUCAAGUAAAACUUCUUUUUUAAACAGAGAUUUUAAGAGGUGUUAUUAGUCGUAAUCUUGUUCCACAACUUAAGAUUAAUUUAAAAUACUCUCUUGUAUUCUGUUCACAACAGUAUUCUGUUAAAGAAUUUUAACAAUGACAAUGUAGCCGAGUAAUAAGUACCAUCACGAA